AUUGAACGCUGGCGGCAGGCCUAACACAUGCAAGUCGAGCGGAGAGGCGGACGGGUGAGUAAUGCCUAGGAAUCUGCACGGUAGUGGGGGAGAGCGUCCGGAACCGGGCGCUAAUACCGCAUACUCUAAGAUGAGCCUAGGUCGGAUUAGCUAGUUGGUGGGGUAAAGGCCUACCAAGGCGACGAUCCGUAGCUGGUCUGAGAGGAUGAUCAGUCACACUGGAACUGAGACACGGUCCAGACUCCUACGGGAGGCAGCAGUGGGGAAUAUUGGACAAUGGGCGAAAGCCUUAUCCAGCCAUGCCGCGUGUGUGAAGAAGGUCUUCGGAUUGUAAAGCACUUUAAGUUGGGAGGCGUUACCAACAGAAUAAGCACCGGCUAACUUCGUGCCAGCAGCCGCGGUAAUAC
rnacentral:rRNA from 1 species